rnacentral:tRNA from 1 species
GCACCCAUUGCUCUGCUGAAUGGAGCGCCAUCCUCCGGAGGUGGAGGCCUCAGGUUCGAAUCCUGAUGGGUGCGCCA